ACUGCUAUGCAAUGCUUAAUGUUUUUUUCAUUUCAGUAUGGCUGUGGUAAGUACACAUACUUUCUAUAAUUUAAUAUUGAACUGUUUUGAUGACUUGUAUACUGCUAUGCAAAAUGUCUGUUUUUCAUUUCAGUAGCCUGUGGUAAGUACACUAACUUUCUUUAAUUUUCAUAUUGAACUGUUUUGAUGACUUGUAUUCUGCUAUACAAAAUGUGCUUUUUUCAAUUUCAGGUCAGCAAUGGUAAGUAUAGUGUGUUUCUUUAUGUAUAAUUUUGUAUACAUAUUGUUUUUUUUCAUCAUAUCAUGUCUUUCAUAUUUAUGCUUUGUGUAAGUAAAAUGUUCAUAAAUCAUUCUUAUCUUCAAACUAAAAAUGUUUUGUGCUAUGCAAAAUGUCUGUAUGAUUUCAGUUGCCAGAGGUGAGUACCAUAACAGUUGAAAAGUUAGUUUUGUUUAGUUCAAGUUUUGGUUCACAGUUCUGUUUGUUAUUUGGCAAAAUUUACAUGUAUGCAUUUAGUCUUGAUUUCAGCUCGAUUGUGGACUGAAGAAGAUUGCCCGCAGAGGGAUUGGAUACAAAAUACAAAGUAAGUACUGAGUUUCUUACUAAAAGUUUUGAGUUGUAUUCAUUGUGUGUUAAUAUGCUAUGAUUGCUAUGAACAUGACUUUUGUAUUUCAGCGAAGACAACAUAGGUAAGUAAAAUUGUUAUCUGUUUCAUGUUUACUGUUACAGUUCAAUAUUGUGUUUAUAAAUUGUAAGUUGUACAAACACAUUCAAAAGUUUCUGAUCAUGCUUUCGAUUUCAUUUCAGCUUUACUGCUGGACGAGUGUUCUCUACUACUAGACGUGUCAGGUUAACUACCAGGCGAGCAGUGACAACAAGGCGCCUUUGUGGAAACAACACAACAAAAAACUGUACUGCUAGACGAGCAGUGACAGAAAGGCGCCUGAACAUGCAACACAAAACAAAAAAUGCCAAUUUGCAAACCUUGAUGUGGACACCGAGUAGUCAAUACAUACGUGUGGCGUAUAGCUGCGACAAAACCGUGGGUCCAUCGCACCGAUAACUUGAACAUUGGCCCGUGUAUGGACAUCAGUGCAACUUUGUGAAUCCAUGUAACUUUGUGAAUCCAUGUAACAUUGCGAAUGUGUGUCGAUCGAAAAAUGUGUACAUUCUGCACUGAAACGAACUCGGUGUUGCAAGUGGCAAGUGUUGACAGUGUGUAUGUUUAUGUUUAUGUUUUUACAUGAAAAAUAAAGGAGAUUGUUCUCCUACCUUUUUUUUCCUUGUUUUAUUGUGCUGGCCAGCAAUAUUGAUGUAUUGAUGUAUGUGUUUGUGUUUAAACUAUGCAAUACCAAAAUCAAACAAAAAAUAAACAUUAACAGUCAUUAACUGUGUUUGGGCGGCCGAGGGGUUUAAGACUCCACAAGUGUGAAGCGCACUGAUAGCACUUGGGGGUAAACACCUCGGUAUUUCGGUGCUAAAAUGUUUUCACGGUGCUUAUUUUGACGCACUGUUAGAACUACCAACCAGUAAAUGAUUGCUUGAUUUAUAAAACAAAUAUUCAGUCUCUACUUUGGCACAAGAGACUCUAAGUAUCAAAUACCAACAAUUUAGACGCAGACAAUCACAUGGUGGUACACCAGUCCGAAUAUACUCAUUGCUCUAGCCAGGAUUGCAAAUUACUUGUGUUGACUAGCAAGGCUCCCUAGUAACGGAGCAGUGUUACUGGCGUUUUUUGGGUCGAUAGUGCUUAGGUGAGGUUUUGCUCGAAUCGGGAGCGGGUCACUCGCUUGGGCGAGUUAGUUUUCGCUCGUAGUUUCCAAUCUGGCUAGAUCACUGUAAGGUUGUUUUGACUGCUAUUUGGCAAGCAGAAAGACAACAGCGGUUAAUUGACUGAGUAUGGGCGACCGAGGUAUGUAGGUGUCAAUAGACCGACUCCACAAGUUGCGAAGCGAACCGAUAGCACUUGAGGGGAAACGCCUCGGUUUUCGGUUCUAACAUGUGUUAUCCAUGCUGUCGUUAUACUCUGGCAAGGCUCCUCAAUCUAUCGCGAGGGACACUCAUUAUUGCCCGCAAGCUUUAGAACCUGACGUGGGUCGAUGCGUAUGCGAGUCCGAGGACGCGAUGGCAUUUGAUAAGGCUACCAACCGGUUGAUAACACGCAUUGUUCAAAUUGUUAGGUUUAAGUCUGCUAGGGCUGGGGUGGGAA